CCUACGGGAGGCAGCAGUGAGGAAUAUUGGUCAAUGGCCGGAAGGCUGAACCAGCCAUGCCGCGUGAAGGUCAGUGCCCUAUGGGCGUUAAACUUCUUUUGUGCGGGAGCAAUAAUGGUCACGUGUGGCCAGACGAGAGUACCGUACGAAUAAGCAUCGGCUAACUCCGGGCCAGCAGCCGCGGUAAUACGGGGGAUGCAAGCGUUAUCCGGAUUUAUUGGGUUUAAAGGGUGCGUAGGCUGGGAGGUAAGUCAGCGGUGAAAUGCCCCCGCUCAACGGGGUGAAGUGCCAUUGAUACUGGCUGGCUGGAAUGCGGAUGCGGUGGGAGGAAUGUGUGGUGUAGCGGUGAAAUGCAUAGAUAUCACACAGAACACCGAUUGCGAAGGCAUCUCACGAAUCCGCGAUUGACGCUGAUGCACGAAAGCGUGGGUAUCAAACAGGAUUAGAUACCCGGGUAGUC
rnacentral:rRNA from 1 species